AUGCUAGUCCGGUCCAUUUCCUCUGUGCCACAACGGGAACUCCUUUCCCUUAUUUUUCAUAUGGUCAAAACUGCCUCUUUUCCUUGUACAAUUUCUUCUAUUCCUCUAGAGCUUGGAAAGCCUGUCUCCCUCCCGAGAACUGAUAAUGGAAGUGCCUUGGUGACCCGUGUCCUGCCCUCUGCCUGGACGCACCCUCUUCCUCUGGGCCCUGAGAUGAGGAUGUGACGCCUGUGACCCCCCCAGGGAGGAAUCCCCCAGCCCCGGCCUCUCAGACGUGCCAGGGCAUGGGCGGGCCCUGAGCCAGAGGUAAGGGGUGCCCUUGCUCCCCAGCGGGGGGCGGGGCCAGCUCACAGCGACCUGAGAUGCAGGUAUGCUGGGUCGUGGGUCCGGCCUGGGAGGGGUGGGGUUGGAUUCGGUUGUCCUGCAAAAACUAACAUCCCUCGGGGUCUGACUCCCGUUCAGAGGUGCUGCCAACCCGUGGGGAGAAGGGGCUGAGGCCGCAGGGCUCCCUGGGGUUCCACAAGGGGACCGACGGGUGGGGCGUAGGGCCGGCCGUGGUCUAAGUAGGUGGUGGCCGUGCUCAGGCCUGUCCAUCCUCUCCCCAUGCGUCGGGGUUGCUCGGGCGUUGAAGGCGAUUUCGUCUUUUUGGGAAUAGAUACGGUGUCUAUCACCGAAUUUACAGAAAGCGCCACAUCUACGGCCUGGCAGUGUUAACAUUGAUGCGUGUGUGUUUGAAGACAAGACUCGUCUGUGGAAAAAAAUAUCUCAGAUGCCGAAUUGAACACCCAGGGGCAUGAGGAGGGUGGAGACUCCCCAGUGGCCAGGUGUUCAGUGACCAGCUGGCCUGUGUCUGCUGGGAGUCUAACCAUCAGCGGGAAAGUGGCCAGCCAGGCUGUACGUUCAGAGGUCACAGAUGUGCCCUGUUUGGUUGAUAGCAGCUCGGGUUUCUCCAGGGCCACAGCCACGUCACGGCAUCUGGGGCUCUGACUCAGCAGUUCUCACACUUGGCUCCAGCAGGUGCUGCUAGGUGGGCAGUUCCUUGGCAGAUCGAGCUGGGUUGUGAUACUUGGCUUGACCAGCAGGAGGUGCUGUUGGUAAGCCACACCCUACAUGGAAAAGUGGAUUUUCGCGUUGGGGUUUUUUUGCAAGAGAUGGUUGCCUGCUGUAUUGGGGUGUUAACGAACGCUGUGGGGUGAGUUUAUUUAUUUGUUUAGGUAUUUCCUCU
ensembl:lncRNA